rnacentral:rRNA from 1 species
AGUCGAACGAAAUCUUCGGAUUUAGUGGCGGACGGGUGAGUAACGCGUGAGAAUCUGGCUUCAGGUCUGGGACAACCACUGGAAACGGUGGCUAAUACCGGAUGUGCCGAGAGGUGAAAGGUUAACUGCCUGAAGAUGAGCUCGCGUCUGAUUAGCUAGUUGGUAGAGUAAGAGCCUACCAAGGCGACGAUCAGUAGCUGGUCUGAGAGGACGAUCAGCCACACUGGGACUGAGACACGGCCCAGACUCCUACGGGAGGCAGCAGUGGGGAAUUUUCCGCAAUGGGCGAAAGCCUGACGGAGCAAUACCGCGUGAGGGAGGAAGGCUCUUGGGUCGUAAACCUCUUUUCUCAGGGAAGAACACAAUGACGGUACCUGAGGAAUAAGCAUCGGCUAACUCCGUGCCAGCAGCCGCGGUAAUACGGAGGAUGCAAGCGUUAUCCGGAAUGAUUGGGCGUAAAGCGUCCGCAGGUGGCAAUGUAAGUCUGCUGUUAAAGAGUCUAGCUCAACUAGAUAAGAGCAGUGGAAACUACAUAGCUAGAGUACGUUCGGGGCAGAGGGAAUUCCUGGUGUAGCGGUGAAAUGCGUAGAGAUCAGGAAGAACACCAGUGGCGAAGGCGCUCUGCUAGGCCGUAACUGACACUGAGGGACGAAAGCUAGGGGAGCGAAUGGGAUUAGAUACCCCAGUAGUCCUAGCCGUAAACGAUGGAUACUAGGCGUGGCUUGUAUCGACCCGAGCCGUGCCGUAGCUAACGCGUUAAGUAUCCCGCCUGGGGAGUACGCCGGCAACGGUGAAACUCAAAGGAAUUGACGGGGGCCCGCMMAASCGGUGG